ACUGACCCUGCCCCCGCAGAAGAGAUCCCAGUUGGAUUCCGACCUACGGAAGGCCAGAAGGGCCAGGCUUAUCAGUGCCGCCAAAUGCGUGCCAGGCGAGGAUGCGCGGCUAAGUGGCGCCGCCUGUUUCCCUCGGCUCUUUACUGACCGAGCCUCCUCUGACUCUCCUGUGCCCAGAGCAUCUUAGCAUCCCGGCUUCUUCCCUGCUUUUCCUCUUCAGGAGUCGUCCAGCUAGACUUGAAAGGGCCGAAGGCAGCCCUGGGAGGAGGAAAGGCCAGCCUCCCGGUCCCAGUGCCCGCUGCCCAGCCUCGAUCCUCCCCCCUGCCUCUGAUGGGCUUGGGCAAGAGAUAAACCUCUCUGGGUCUGUAUCCUCUUCGGCACCACGGGAGAUAACCUGCCUAUACCUUGGAUCUGUUGUGGGGUUUAAGUAGGGAGCGCCCGUGUGUGGUUCAUGUUAGGCCCCUCCCGACUCUUGAGAAAUUGCCUCCGCCAGGAACGUGGGAGCCGAAUUUGUACUUGCCCGGAGAACUGCCGCUUCCCAUUACGUACAUCAACCAAGAAAGACUGUGUCACGAAUUCACAAGCUUUUUCCAGUAGUGGACCCGUUUAUUACUCUCCUACCCGGCCCUAUGCAUCAUGUGUUGAGAAAUUCUGUGCUUAACUAUUGCAAUAUGAUUACUGAGCACCUGCUAUUUGCUGGGAACUGUUAGACACUAUGCUUGGCAAUAGAUAAAGAUGAGUAAGAGAUCACGUUGCCCUUGAGGCACUCCUGGACCGAAGAUGACCACAGAGAACUACUACAGUGUAGUGCAGUGUUUAUAAAUGUACAGAAGAAGAAAUGUACGAAUUUUUGUUAAUUCAGUCAGCCUUUUCUGAGCAGCCAUAUCCACUAAAGUGCUGGGGACAGAGGGUUAGAAGCCUUGUCAAUAGGAAGUGAAUUCCUCCUAUCAAAUACAGUCUUCUGUUGAUUGUCUCCUUGCAAGAAGUAGUCCUGCAGAGUUCCCAUGAGACCCAGCCUGUCCUAGGGGAGGACACCGAACCCAGACCAGACCUGACAGUCCCUGGGAUUUGAGCUGGGGCUGCUGGGAAGACCUCCUUUGAAGGUAUGAUAAGCUGUGAGGCCAGUAUGGUCUUGGGGUUGCCACCACGGAGACCCAUGGAGAAAGCCAACACAUGGAGAAAGCCAACCUAGGAAGGAAGCUCUGAGAUGCAAGCCAAGCAUUGUUGGUAGCAUCAUUUCAAUCUUGACGCCCGCCAAGCCCUGGUUAACCUAGGUAAGAACAUGAGCUCUGGAGCCAGCUGCCUGGCUGACUGGCA